rnacentral:rRNA from 1 species
UACGAAGGGGGCUAGCGUUGUUCGGAAUUACUGGGCGUAAAGCGCGCGUAGGCGGUGAUCUUUGUCAGAGGUGAAAGCCCGGGGCUCAACUCCGGAAUUGCCUUUGGAACGGGAUCGCUUGAGUCCGAGAGAGGAUGGCGGAAUUCCUAGUGUAGAGGUGAAAUUCGUAGAUAUUAGGAAGAACACCGGUGGCGAAGGCGGCCAUCUGGCUCGGUACUGACGCUCAGGCGCGAAAGCGUGGGGAGCAAACAGG